rnacentral:snRNA from 1 species
AUGCUAGCCUGGCGGGGCGAUACCGUGAUUACAAAGGUGGUUUUCCCAGGGUGAAGCUUCUCCAGUGCACUCUGGAUGUGCUAACCCCUGUGACUUCCCCAAAUGUGGGAACUUUAACUGCAUAANNN